GACGAACGCUGGCGGCGUGCUUAACACAUGCAAGUCGAACGGAAAGGCCCUGCUUUUGUGGGGUGCUCGAGUGGCGAACGGGUGAGUAACACGUGAGUAACCUGCCCUUGACUUUGGGAUAACUUCAGGAAACUGGGGCUAAUACCGGAUAGGAGCUCCUGCUGCAUGGUGGGGGUUGGAAAGUUUCGGCGGUUGGGGAUGGACUCGCGGCUUAUCAGCUUGUUGGUGGGGUAGUGGCUUACCAAGGCUUUGACGGGUAGCCGGCCUGAGAGGGUGACCGGCCACAUUGGGACUGAGAUACGGCCCAGACUCCUACGGGAGGCAGCAGUGGGGAAUAUUGCACAAUGGGCGGAAGCCUGAUGCAGCAACGCCGCGUGCGGGAUGACGGCCUUCGGGUUGUAAACCGCCUUCGCCUGUGACGAAGCGUGAGUGACGGUAAUGGGUAAAGAAGCACCGGCUAACUACGUGCCAGCAGCCGCGGUGAUACGUAGGGUGCGAGCGUUGUCCGGAUUUAUUGGGCGUAAAGGGCUCGUAGGUGGUUGAUCGCGUCGGAAGUGUAAUCUUGGGGCUUAACCCUGAGCGUGCUUUCGAUACGGGUUGACUUGAGGAAGGUAGGGGAGAAUGGAAUUCCUGGUGGAGCGGUGGAAUGCGCAGAUAUCAGGAGGAACACCAGUGGCGAAGGCGGUUCUCUGGGCCUUUCCUGACGCUGAGGAGCGAAAGCGUGGGGAGCGAACAGGCUUAGAUACCCUGGUAGUCCACGCUGUAAACGGUGGGUACUAGGUGUGGGGUCCAUUCCACGGGUUCCGUGCCGUAGCUAGCGCUUUAAGUACCCCGCCUGGGGAGUACGGCCGCAAGGCUAAAACUCAAAGGAAUUGACGGGGCCCUGCACAAGCGGCGGAGCAUGCGGAUUAAUUCGAUGCAACGCGUAGAACCUUACCUGGGUUUGACAUGGAUCGGGAGCGCUCAGAGAUGGGUGUGCCUCUUUUGGGGUCGGUUCACAGGUGGUGCAUGGCUGUCGUCAGCUCGUGCCGUGAGAUGUUGGGUUAAGUCCCGCAACGAGCGCAACCCUUGUUCACUGUUGCCAGCACGUUAUGGUGGGGACUCAGUGGAGACCGCCGGGGUCAACUCGGAGGAAGGUGGGGAUGACGUCAAGUCAUCAUGCCCCUUAUGUCCAGGGCUUCACGCAUGCUACAAUGGCUGGUACAGAGAGUGGCGAGCCUGUGAGGGUGAGCGAAUCUCGGAAAGCCGGUCUCAGUUCGGAUUGGGGUCUGCAACUCGACCUCAUGAAGUCGGAGUCGCUAGUAAUCGCAAAUCAGCAACGCUGCGGUGAAUACGUUCCCGGGGCC
rnacentral:rRNA from 1 species